rnacentral:piRNA from 1 species
AAGGAACCGAGACUCUCACGUGUGCC